AACAGCUCAAAUUUGAAAUCUGGCCUCUUUUGGUCCGAAUUGUAAUUUGGAGAAGGUGCUUCGGGUGCGACAGCGGUCUAAAUUCUCUGNAAUGAGGUUUCAUAGAGGGUGAAAAUCCCGUAUGUGAUCGAUCGUCAAUCCCAUGUGAAGCCCUUUCGACGAGUCGAGUUGUUUGGGAAUGCAGCUCUAAAUGGGUGGUAAAUUUCAUCUAAAGCUAAAUACCUGCCAGAGACCGAUAGCGCACAAGUAGAGUGAUCGAAAGAUGAAAAGCACUUUGAAAAGAGAGUUNANCAGCACGUGAAAUUGUUGAAAGGGAAGCGCUUGCAACCAGACUUGCUCGUGGGUGUUCAGCCGUCCUUUUGGUCGGUGCACUCUCCCACGAUCGGGCCAACAUCGGUUUUGGUGGUUGGACAAAGGUUCCAGGAACGUAUCUCCCCUUGGGGAUUGUUAUAGCCUGGGAUGCAAUGCAGCCUGCCGAGACCGAGGAAUGCGCUUUGCUAGGAUGUUGGCGUAAUGGUUGCCANCGACCCGUCUUGAAACACGGACCAAGGAGUCGACCAAUUUUGCGAGUGUUUGGGCAUUAAACUCAUGCGCGUAAUGAAAGUGAACGGAGGUGGGAGCUCUCGGGCGCACCUCGACCGAUCCUGAUGUCUUCGGAUGGAUUUGAGUAUGAGCAAAAUUGGUCGGACCCGAAAGAUGGUGAACUAUGCGUGAAUAGGGUGAAGCCAGAGGAAACUCUGGUGGAGGCUCGCAGCGGUUCUGACGUGCAAAUCGAUCGUCAAAUUAGCGCAUAGGGGCGAAAGACUAAUCGAACCGUCUAGUAGCUGGUUCCUGCCGAAGUUUCCCUCAGGAUAGCAGUAACGAAAANCAGUCUCAUGAGGUAGAGCGAACGAUUAGAGGCCUUGGGGUUGAAACAACCUUAACCUAUUCUCGAACUUCGAAUAUGUGAGAAGUCCUUGUUACUUAAUUGAACGUGGACAUUUGGAUGUGUCGUUACUAGUGGGCCAUUUUUGGUAAGCAGAACUGGCGAUGCGGGAUGAACCGAACGUGAGGUUACGGUGCCAGAGUGUACGCUCAUCANACACCACAAAAGGNGUUAGGUUCAUCUANACAGCCGGACGGUGGCCAUGGAAGUCGGAAUCCGNUAAGGAGUGUGUAACAACUCACCGGCCGAAUGAACUANCCCUGAAAAUGGAUGGCGCUCAAGCGUGCCACCUAUACCUCACCGCC
rnacentral:rRNA from 1 species